UUACUGUUUUCGAGUCAAAUAUGACUAGAUGUCAUGUGUAUGAGUGAGUAUAACAACUAGAACCGCAACUGGAUCUUAGAAGCCUAUGUAUUGUAUCCUUGUUAGAAGAUACAAAGAAAAAGCCUCAUACGGACAUCGCCUACACCAUCAAAGCUUUGAGAAGCAAGAAGAGGCUUGGUUAGUGUUUUGGUGUCAAAUAUGACUAGAUGUCAUGUGUAUGAGUGAGUAUAACAACUAGAACCGCAACCGGAUCUUUAAAGCGUAAGUAUUGUAUCCUUGUUAGAAGAGGCUACACCAUCAAAGCUUUGAGAAGCAAGAAGAAGCUUGGUUAGUGUUUUGGAGUCAACUAUGACUAGAUAUCAUGUGUAUGAGUGAGUAUAACAACUAGAAUCGCAACUAGAUCUUAAAAGCCUAAGUAUUGUAU
rnacentral:sRNA from 1 species